rnacentral:rRNA from 1 species
UACAGAGAGUGCGAGCGUUAAUCGGAAUUACUGGGCGUAAAGCGCGCGUAGACGGUUUUGUAAGUCAGAUGUGAAAUCCCUAGGCUCAACCUGGGAACUGCAUUUGAAACUGCAUGGCUAGAGUAUGGAAGAGGGAAGUGGAAUUUCCGGUGUAGCGGUGAAAUGCGUAGAUAUCGGAAGGAACACCAGUGGCGAAAGCGACUUCCUGGUCCAAUACUGACGUUCAUGUGCGAAAGCGUAAGGAGCAAACAGG